rnacentral:rRNA from 1 species
AGCUCGCCUAAUGAUAGACACCAAAGCAAGCAAAAUAGUCCACACACUAACACGUCAGGUCAAGGUGUAGCUUAUGGGGGGGUUAAAGAUGGGCUACAUUUUCUCACCACUAGAAAACCACCAAAGGCUAUGUGAAACCUAAGCCCCCCGGCGGAUUUAGCAGUAAACCCGGGCAAGACCUGCCUAAUUGAAACCUGCUCUGGGACGCGUACACACCGCCCGUCACCCUCUUCAACCAGCCAAAGCCCCACUAACAUAUAACCCCCCCCGCACCCUAGACGAGGUAAGUCGUAACAUGGUAAGCCUACCGGAAGGUGGGCUUGGCACACCAC